rnacentral:rRNA from 1 species
GAUCCUGGCUUAGGAUGAACGCUAGCGACAGGCUUAACACAUGCAAGUCGAGGGGCAGCACGGGAGUAGCAAUACUUGGUGGCGACCGGCGCACGGGUGAGUAACGCGUAUGCAACCUACCUAUCAGAGGGGAAUAACCCGGCGAAAGUCGGACUAAUACCGCAUAAAACAGGGGCACCGCAUGGUGAUAUUUGUUAAAGAAAUUCGCUGAUAGAUGGGCAUGCGUUCCAUUAGGUAGUUGGUGAGGUAACGGCUCACCAAGCCGACGAUGGAUAGGGGAACUGAGAGGUUGGUCCCCCACACUGGUACUGAGACACGGACCAGACUCCUACGGGAGGCAGCAGUGAGGAAUAUUGGUCAAUGGGCGGGAGCCUGAACCAGCCAAGUCGCGUGAAGGAAAAGAAGGAUCUAUGGUUCGUAAACUUCUUUUGCGAGGGGAAUAAAGUGCAGGACGUGUCCUGUUUUGUAUGUACCCUGAGAAUAAGGAUCGGCUAACUCCGUGCCAGCAGCAGC